CUUUAUGGUGGCUGUGCGCAGGGCGCCUUCGUGCGCGCCGGGUUCCUAGAGUCUCGGUCUGCAAACCUGCGUACAGCCGCCACCCAA
rnacentral:antisense_RNA from 1 species